ensembl:lncRNA
GUAAUCCCAGCACUUUGGGAGGCCAAGGCGGGUGGAUCACGAGGUCAAAAGAUGGAGACCAUCCUGGUCACCAUUGUGAAACCCUGUCUCUACUAAAAAUACAAAAAAUUAGCUGGGCAUGGUGGCAUGUACCUAUAAUCCCAGCUACUCAGGAGGCUGAGUCAGGAGAAUUGCCUGAACCCAGGAGGUGGAGGUUGCAGUGAUCCGAGAUCUCACCAUUGCACUUCAGCCUGGGUAACGAGAGCGAAACUUCAUCUCAAAAAAAAAAAAAAAAAAGAAUGCAUGGACACAGGGAGGGAAACAUCACACACCAGGGUCUGUUGGGAGGUAGGGGAAUAGGGGAGGGAUAGCAGGGGUUGGGGGAAUUGGGGAGGGAUAGCAUUAGGAGAAAUACCUAACGUAGAUGAUGAGAGGAUGAAUGGAGCAAACCACCAUGGCAUGUGUAUACCUAUGUAACAAACCUGCAUGUUCUGCACAUGUACUCCAGAACUUAAAGUAUAAUAAAAAUAUUAAUUCUAUAAAUGGAAAAAAAAUAUUUUAAAAAGGAAAAAUAAUUUUUAUUCCCAGCGCAAUGGACAGGUUUGUUUGUAGCUGAUUGCAAAAUAUUUGAGUUAUUUAUUUGAAGGUUUCUUAUUGUAGUGGUUAAUACUGAGUGUCAACUUGAUUGGAUUGAAGGAUGUAAAGUAUUGUUCCUGGGUGUGUCUGUGAAGGUUAACAUUUGAGUCAGUGGACUGACAGAGGCAGACCCACUCUCAGUUUGGAUGGGCACCAUCUAAUCAGCUACCAGUGCAGCUAGAAUAAAGCAGGCAGAAGAAAUUGAGGGACUAUACUUGCUGAGUCUUCUAGCCUUCAUCUUUCUCCCAUGCUGGAUGCUUCCUGCCCUCGAACAUCAGACUCCAAGUUCUUCAGCUUUUGGACUCUUGGACUUCUACCAGUGCUUUGUCAGGCUCUCAGGCCUUCGGCCACAGAUUGAAGGCUGCACUAAUGGCUUCACUACUUUUGAGGUUUUGAGACUCGGACUGGCUUCCUUGCUCCGCAGCUUGCAGACAGCCUAUUGUGUGACUUCACCUUGUAAUCAUGUAUACAGGAAGCUUGUGAUUUCUGCAUAUUGAUUUUGUAUCCUGAGACUUUGCUGAAGUUGCUUAUCUGUUUAAGGAGAUUUGGAACUGAGAUGAUGGAGUCUUCUAAAUAUACAAUCAUGUCAUCUACAAAGAGGUACAAUUUGACUUCCUCUUUUCCUAAUUGAAUACUCUUUAUUUCUUUUUCUUGCCUGAUUGCUCUGGCUGGAACUUGCAAUAUUGUAUUUAAUAGGAAUGGUGAGAUGGCAUCCUUGUCAAGAGCCUGAUACCAGUGGGCUAGGGGAGUUCCCCAAAUGCCAGUAGCACCUCUACCCUGACCAGUGUCCAAGCUCUUGACACUAUCACCAGAAGGAGUUCAGGCAUGAGUCAGAAACUAGUGAAAAUAGAGACAUUCUUACAAAAUGAAAAGUACAUACUCAAGAAAGGGGAGUGUGGGUGUACUCAAGAGGAAGCGUUGCAAGAUGGAAUUUGGGUCUCCUACCUUUAUGGGUUGCAUUAACCAAGGUGUGGAACAUUCAUGAAGAUUCCUAGAAAGAGAUGAAGAUAUCUGAGAAGUGUGGUGCCACUCAGUGUUCCUGGAACUGCCACGAAGCUGGUGGGUGGGUGAUUUAGGAUAUCAAUGAGCAUAUAAUGAGAUCCUGGGUAAAAGUUAAGUCAAGUCCGGCACCAUGUUGGGCCUGGUCAGUCUUAGCCAGCUUGGCCCACACACUGUUUUUCAGGUUCUUAUCAGUCCAUAGCUUAUGCAGCUGUUUCAACAUAUUCCUUUUUGCUAGUCAUGUAUAACUACUGCCUGGAAUUUUCCAUUGUUUUGCCACCACCAUGAAUUAUUCUGGUCUUAGUUCCCCUGAGUCAUUGCAAGAUAUUCUUAGAGAUUAUCAUUUCUCUAUAUUUUGAAGGUAUUUUUCAUUGCAUAGUAGGUUUCAUUGUUGUUGUUAAAAAGAUGCCAUUAUCAUUAUUUAUUGGUAAUCUGGUCAUUUUAGGCAUUUUUUAAAGCUUCUUUUACUCUUUUCUGCCCUUAUUUGCAUAUGGCUGAGUGAAAUUCUUUUCUCCUGGGUGUUUACUAGGUUUCCUGAUGGAAUGAUCCCUAUCCUUUGUCAUUUCUGAAAAAAUCUCAGUCAUUAUCUGCUUUACAUUUAGUCUAAUCUUCCUUCUCUAUUCUCAUGUCUGAAACUUCUAUUAAACCUCAACUCUUUCAUUCUGUUCUCCACUUAUAUUUAAACCUCUUAGUUUUUCCUCAUCUUAUUUGUUCUUCGUGAUUUCCUUAAUUUUACUAUACCUAAAUUAUGCUUCUGGUUCAGUAUUUAUCUCUUAUGGUUUAUAUAAUCUACUGUUUAACCCAUCAGGAUUUAAAUUUCAUUUGUUGUAUUCUUGGGUUCCAGAAGCGAGGUUAUUUUUAAAAUUGACCUGAUCUUCAUAUGCCAGUGCUCACUCACAAAUUUGUUUACUUUGUGCCAGGUACUUGGUAGGCACUUUGAAUACUUCAGUGAAAAAUAAAAAUGGACAAAACGAGAUCUUCGCCCAUAGGGUACAUUAUGUGACAAGAUUAGCUGCAACUGUAUGAAAAAUAAAUAGUCAAUUGAAGGUGAUAACUGUUAUGAAAAAAGAAAUCACACAGUAAAGCAUGAACACAGUACAAGGUAUUAGUAGUGCUGUGUCUGGAAGAUGGUAGUCAUUUGUAAAGAGUGGUCAGGGAAGGUGUCAUUAAGAAAGUGAUAUUUGAACAAGAUGCUGAAGGUAUCAGAAAGUAAUGAUGUAGAUAUUUGAGAGAAAGUUUCAAGCAGAACUAUUAGCCAAUGCAGUUACUACAGUGCGUUCAAAGAAAGGGACACCUGUAUGACUGGAGCACAUAUGUGAGGAGGGAAAAAAAUGGGAGAGGUAAUUGCUGCCAGAUCACUUAUGGCUGUUCAGGCCAUCGUGAGGACUUUAGCUUUGUUUUGAGUGAGAUGAAAGCCAUCAACAGGCUUAUGCAGAGAAAUCACCA